rnacentral:lncRNA from 1 species
UCGCCGAGUCAUAUGAACAACUCGACGAGUUGUUCUUGAGCUAAGAAGAUUGCCUUGGACUCGCCGAGUUGUAUGAACAACUCGUCGAGUCCCUCCAUUACUGAGUCUGCCCUCCAACUCACUGAGUCCACUCUACUACUCACAGGCUUCCACUCGACAUCACUCAAAAAGGGGAAAAACGGGACUCGCGACUUGACUCGCCGAGUCGUUCUUCCGACUCGCCGAGUCACAUCCAUGCAGCUACUCUAAACUCGAUUCUGCUUGAAUCCAGCGUCUGAAACUUAUAGAUCUGGGCUUCCUUAACUCGAUUAGCACGUAAAGAUUCUAUCUUUACGUGCCCAUAAGCGACCAAGAAGAUAAUAAGGCUCAAAAAGCAUAAUAAAGGCUAGAUCUAGGGUUCUUAUGCAAAGCAUCUUCAAAAAGGCAAAAGAUCCGAGCUCUACAACUCCUAAAUGAACAGACCUAGUGAUAUCUCGACCUAUUAAGGCAUCCAUACAACUAUAAGGCUUGGAAAAUGCACCAAACUACCCCUAGGAGAGUUCUAAUGGUGGUCUAAAGCAUAAAACAGAAAGAAUCCGAGAAUACCUCAAUGAACUCUAAUUUUGCCCUUGGAUCUUUGCUCUACACCUCUUCUCUUUGCUCCUUUCUUCUUCUUCUUCUUCAAGCCUUCAGAAUCCCCACACAAAAGCACAUAAAACAAUAAGGGGAUGGAUUAGGGUUUUCUCACAGCUCUCUGAGGGUGAAGAAGGCGAGUUUGGGGCACAUAGCAUUGCUUAAAUAGUGAGCAACCCGGGGAUUUAGGGUUUCUUCCAAGCAGGCAGACUCGCCGAGUCCCGAAUAUGGACUCGCUGAGUCGCCGACUAACACGUGCACGAAAAAUCGACCCUACUCGACAAGUCAUGCCAUAGACUCGCCGAGUCCCUCAAUAAAACUUCUAAAUAAAUGCCACGGAAGCAACAUACCAGAGACGGGGCGUUACAAUUCUCCCCCACUUGUCUCAGACUUCGUCCUCGAAGUCUGCUGUGGCUGAAUCUGCAAAUAACUCUGGGUAAUGCUCUCUCAUUUCUUCCUCAGCCUCCCACAUCCACUCAGACCCUUUCCGCUGCUGCCACUGCACCUUCACUAACUGAAUUGUUUUGUUCCUCAAGGUCUUUGUCUUCCGGUCCAGAAUCGCGACCGGCCUCUCAAUAUAAUUCAGGCUGCUAUCAACCUGAAUAUCCUCUAGGGGAACAACUGCUGACUCAUCCACCAAACACUUCCUCAACUGAGACACAUGGAAAGUGUUGUGGAUCUGGCUAAGCUCUACAGGAAGAUCCAACCGAUAAGCAACCCGACCCACUCGGGCCAAAACCCUGAAAGGACCAAUGAACCUGGGGCCCAGCUUGCCCCUCUUCCGAAACCUGAUGACACCCUUCCAGGGUGAGACCUUCAGGAGGACCAUAUCGCCCACCCGGAACUCCAAGUCUGAACGCCUCCUGUCGGCGUAGCUCUUCUGCCGACUCUGCGCAGUCUGCAGUCUACUACGGACCUGCUGAAUCAACUCGGUCGUCUUGAGCACCACCUCUGUGCUCCCAAUGACUCGCUGACCGACCUCGCCCCAACAAAUCGGGGUCCUACACUUCCUCCCAUAAAGCAUCUCAAAGGGAGGUCGAUCAAUGCUCGCAUGAUAACUGUUGUUAUACGAAAAUUCCGCUAACGGAAGAUACGUAUCCCAACUGCCACCGAAGUCUAGAACACAUGCCCUGAGCAUGUCCUCGAGAGUCUGAAUCGUCCUCUCGCUCUGCCCGUCCGUCUGAGGGUGGAAAGCGGUGCUGAAAUGAAGACGAGUACCCAUCUCGUCGUGAAACCGCUUCCAGAAUCUGGAUGUAAAACGGACAUCUCGGUCUGACACCACCGAUACCGGCACUCCAUGACGUGCCACGAUCUCACGCACAUAGAUAUCGGCUAACUUUUCUGCCGAUAUACUCUCCUGGAUCGGGAUAAAAUGAGCACUCUUCGUCAACCGAUCCACUACUACCCAUAUCGAAUCUACUCCUCGUGCGGUCCUGGGAAGCUUGGUGACAAAAUCCAUGGUGAUGUCCUCCCAUUUCCACACGGGAAUGUCUAACGGCUGCAUCUUGCCGUGAGGCCUCUGGUGCUCCGCCUUGACCUUCCUGCAGGUCAGGCAUCUCUCAACAUACCAAGCGACAUCCCGCUUCAUGCAGGGCCACCAAUAAUCGGGUCGAAGAUCUCUAUACAUCUUCGUCGCCCCUGGGUGGAUAGAAAAUCGAGACUUAUGAGCCUCGUCCAUCAACACCUGCCGUACUCCACCCCAGUACGGUACCCACACUCUCCCAUGAAGUGUCAGCAAUCCCCGACUGUCAUAAUCAAACGAAGCUACUCGGCCCACUAUCCUCUCACACUUUUGCCUCUCCUCCUUGAGGCCCUCAACCUGAGCCUCCCUGAUCCGUUCCAACAACGGAGUAAUCACUGUCAUCCUCAAACACAAAUCUCUGAUAGGGGCUGCCGACACUUUGCGGCUUAGGGCGUCGGCCACCACGUUGGCCUUCCCUGGAUGGUAAAGGAUCUCACAAUCAUAAUCCUUCAGCACAUCCAACCACCUCCUCUGCCUCAUGUUCAGACUCGGCUGAUCCAUAAGGUACCUCAAACUCUUGUGAUCCGUGUAGAUAGUACAACGGACCCCAUAAAGAUAAUGCCUCCAAAUCUUGAGGGCAAACACAACCGCCCCCAGCUCUAAAUCAUGGGUAGGAUAAUUAGCCUCGUGAGGCUUCAACUGCCUCGAGGCGUAAGCUAUCACAUGGCCUCGCUGCAUCAACACUGCUCCCAUACCUGUGAUUGAGGCAUCACAGUAGACUACGAAGUCCUCUACUCCCUCUGGCAAGGUAAGGAUCGGAGCCUCGCACAAUCUCUGUCUGAGGGUCUCGAACGCUGCCUGCUGCUCAGGCCCCCAACGAAAUACCACCGACUUCUUGGUCAGUCGGGUGAGCGGCACUGCUAUCUUGGAGAAAUCCUGAAUAAAUCUCCGAUAAUACCCUGCCAACCCUAGGAAGCUCCGAAUCUCAGAUGGAGACUUCGGGACCUCCCACUGCAUCACGGCCUCUAUCUUGGCCGGAUCCACCAAAAUACCCUUCUGGUUGACGAGGUGACCAAGGAACUGCACCUCGCGCAACCAGAACUCACACUUGGAGAACUUUGCGAAAAGUCUCUCCCUCCUCAAAACUUCCAGCACCUCCCUCAGGUGCUCCUCGUGCUGCUCCUGCGUCUUGGAAUAUACCAAGAUAUCAUCUAUGAAUACUAUCACUGACCGAUCCAGCAUCGGCCUACACACGCGAUUCAUGAGAUCCAUGAACGCGGCUGGGGCAUUGGUGAGCCCAAAUGGCAUCACCACAAACUCAUAAUGACCAUACCUGGUCCUGAAAGCAGUCUUCUGCACAUCCUCAUCCCUAACCCGCAUCUGAUGAUACCCGGAGCGUAGAUCGAUCUUGGAGAACCAAGACGCUCCCUGAAGCUGAUCAAACAAAUCAUCUAUCCUCGGAAGUGGGUAACGGUUCUUCACCGUUACCUUAUUCAACUCCCGGUAAUCUAUACACAUACGAUGCGACCCAUCCUUCUUCCUCACAAACAGGAUCGGCGCUCCCCAAGGCGAACUGCUCGGCCGAAUGAAACCCUUGUCUAGCAGCUCCUGCAGCUGCGUAGACAACUCCUGCAUCUCAGGGGGAGCUAGGCGAUACGGUGCCUUGGCUAUCGGAGCCGCACCAGGAAUCAGGUCGAUCCCAAACUCAACCUGCCUCUCAGGAGGUAUUUUCGGUAAAUCCUCGGGAAAUACAUCCGGAAAGUCUCUCACUAUCGGGACAUCAUCAACUGUCUUCUUGCCCUUCUCCCGGGCAUCCAAGACAUAAGCUACAUAACCAGCGCAACCCUGCUGAAAAUAGCGUCUCGCCCUUGCGGCGAAACAAAAGGUCGGUCCACGUUGUGGUCUCUCUCCCUGAAUCACUAACUCUCCCCCAAUGGGAGUGCGAAUCCUCACUAGCUGAUGUUCACAAUCAAUCACCGCCCCGUUGGGGCUUAGCCAAUCCAUGCCCACAAUAACCUUAUUCCCUCGCAGGGGAAUAGGAACCAGGUCCACCGAAAACUGCUCGUCAAACAACUGAAGAGAACACCCUCUAUGCACUCUGGCGACCCUCAUGGUCCUGUCGUCUGCUAUCUCAACCUCUAGUGGACAAUCCAGCUCCCCUGGNCGGAGCCGCACCAGGAAUCAGGUCGAUCCCAAACUCAACCUGCCUCUCAGGAGGUAUUUUCGGUAAAUCCUCGGGAAAUACAUCCGGAAAGUCUCUCACUAUCGGGACAUCAUCAACUGUCUUCUUGCCCUUCUCCCGGGCAUCCAAGACAUAAGCUACAUAACCAGCGCAACCCUGCUGAAAAUAGCGUCUCGCCCUUGCGGCGAAACAAAAGGUCGGUCCACGUUGUGGCCUCUCUCCCUGAAUCACUAACUCUCCCCCAAUGGGAGUGCGAAUCCUCACUAGCUGAUGUUCACAAUCAAUCACCGCCCCGUUGGGGCUUAGCCAAUCCAUGCCCACAAUAACCUUAUUCCCUCGCAGGGGAAUAGGAACCAGGUCCACCGAAAACUGCUCGUCAAACAACUGAAGAGAACACCCUCUAUGCACUCUGGCGACCCUCACGGUCCUGUCAUCUGCUAUCUCAACCUCUAGUGGACAAUCCAGCUCCCCUGGAGCUCUGCUAAAUCUCUUGCUAAGCGCAAGCGAUACGAAUGAUCGGGUAGCCCCCGAAUCGAAUAAUACCAUAGCAGAAAUGCCGUUCACAGAGAACGACCCUAUAUAAAACAUACAAUCAUAAGCAAUAAUCAAUCAAUAAUAAUAUAGAGAUGAAGGGAAGAUACAUACCCGUCACCACAUCAGGAGUCGCUCGCGCCUCCUCUGCUGUCAUCUGAAACGCCCUACUCUUCGCCACUAGCGCCUCAGCUCGGCCCUGCCGGCCAUCUGUAAUCCUCAAAGUAGCAGGGGCAGGUGCAGCCACCUUCCCUACUGCAGCUAAACUCGGACACUGGGACUUUUUAUGUCCCCUCUGAUUGCACUGAAAGCAAAUCAGAUCUGAUGCUGCAAUGGCAGUAGGGGUCGUACAAUCCCUGCUCAAAUGCCCCAUCCGACCGCACCUGAAACAGCCGGAAUUCCCUGCCUUGCACACCCCAUCGUGCAUCCUCCCACACUUGCCACAUCGACCAUGGCUCUACUGACCCCUGGAUCUGUGAUCAGAAACCUUGGGCUUUUUGCCUGAACCUCCUGAACCCGAAACCGUCUCCGGUUUCCUCUUCUUCUCCAUCUCAAGAUCAAUCUCCCUCUCUCGAGCCCUAGCAAUCAUGUCGUCCAACGUUUUACAGCUGGACCGGCUCACAAACUGGCGGAUAUCGCUCCGCAACAUCUCAUGAUAACGGGCCUUCUUCAUCUCCUCAUCGGCUGCAUACUGAGGAACAAGAAGAGCCCUCUCCCUGAACUUGGCGGUGAUCUCCGCCACGGUCUCUGUAGUCUGGGUGAGGUCCUGAAACUCUCUGGCUAACUGCUGCACCUCAAUAACUGGUGCAAACUCCGCCCUGAACCUGGUAGAGAAAUCAGCCCAGGUCAUGGCAUCCAACGCUGCAUCAUCUCCAAUGGUAUGUCCGACCUCCUCCCACCAAUCCCGUGCCCUGUCCUUCAGAAGACAGGACGCCAAUCUGACCUUGUCCCCCUCGGGACACCUGCUAGUGCGGAACGCGUUGGCCACAUCCGCCAACCAUCUAGUACUCGCUAUGGGGUCCCGCGCCCCAUGAUAGUCUGGAGCUCCACAUGCCCUGAACUCCCUGAAUGUAAGUGUGCGCGACCCCAUCAUGGCCGCCACCUCGGCACGGAAGGUGCCCAAUCUCUCAUCCAUCAGCUCUAGGAUACCCUCCUUGAUCGAACCGAAGAUCACAGGAGUCUGCUCUAAAAUGAUACGAGUAAUCUCUGAAGAAAGAAACUCUCUGGUCUGCUCAUCCAUGCGCUCGUCCCCCGAGCCUGAUCCUGAUCCCUCCCCGGCACCUCCACUGCCGGCUGCUGUCCUCGGACGCAAAACCACCAUUCUGAAACACAUCAUAGCAACAUCAGAAAACUGAAAUAUCUCAAGGGAUCAUUGAUACUACUACUAGCUUCCUGGUCUUGUCUCGGCCUUCCUUGAUUCGAGUACGGAUCCUCUGCUUUCAGUAGUACGGGCCCAUACUACCUUCCACAUCUAUCCGUACUUUCCUCAAGAACUGCCUUGACUCCACCAAGUCACUUCUACUACUACUGAUCUCUGCUACUCUCAUCCUAGGCUUGCCCUAGGGAAAUCUCUGACUCCACUCAAACCAGUCCUCAGCUGCUGAAGGCCUCCUUGUAAUGCUAAUUAGCCACCACCUGAAUACCAUCACAUGCAAUGAGGCUCGGAUAAUCCUUCGAGUAAAAGACUCGUCCCUACAACGGUUGGACUCAGACAAGAGCUGCGCAAUAGGGCCAAAUCCAGCACUCUGAGAUUAUUCAACCCUGCUCACAUGUGAUGUGACGUAUUCACCUAAUGGCUAACUCCCACCACUCAGAGUCCCACAAAGCACAAAGCAAGCAGCAUUCGGAUAAAGGAAACAUACUCAGGCAAAACUAUUCUCAUAACGAGAAACUACACUAGCAUACAAUGCUAAGCUCGCGCUACCAGGCAUAACCUAAACAGGCUAUCCUACUGCUGUCUACUCAAUACUAGCAUGCAAUUCUCAUAAAGCUGUAACACAUAUAGCAGGCACAUAAGGCAUCCUCCUAGAUCCUUAGUCCUAUACUAGCAUGCUGUUCUACUGAAACUGGAACAAUUAAUCAUAAUAAUAAAACUUGUAUUGGUAAUUUGGGAGUACUUACUUGCGCUCGGCUGAUCGCAUGCACCACACCCUUAUCUUGUUUAAAAAUUCUUUUCUUUCUAAGUGCUUUUCAAAAUUUCAUUCGAAAACAUUUUUCUUUUUGAAAAUCUUUUUAUCUUUCCCUUAGUUUGAGUUCAGAUGCACCCGGAGGUGUAUCCGAAUCCCUCAAACCAAGGCUCUGAUACCAACUUGAAACAACCCAAAAAUACCACCCAAAAAUUUCGAUUUUUAUUAUAACAAAGCCACGAGACUGAGUAUCACAUAAUAAAACCACAUGUUGCGUGUUUCAAAAACCAUAAUAAAAUACUGUGAGAAAAACUGCAUCACAAUUGUAUCCAAACAUAUCAAGAACACUAAAUCAAUUCCCAGGACAAAACUGAAGCUAUGGUGUGUGCGAUGCCAUCAUCCCGAGCUCUUCCCUUUGCUUGCGGAAGUACCUGAAACCAAAACUGAAACUGUAAGCACGAAGCUUAGUGAGCUCCCCCAAACUACCACAUACCAUACAAUACAUAUAAAGCACAUACUGGGCCUUGCCCACUGCAUCNCCUACAUCGGACCGAAGUCCGACACUGGCUGGGACCCCCGUCCCCUACAUCGGGCCGAAGUCCGAAGCUAACUGGGACACCCCGUCCCCUACAUCGGACCGAAGUCCUAAGCUAACUGGAACUCCCCGUCCCCUACAUCGGACCGAAGUCCAAAGCUAACUGGAACUCCCCGUCCCCUACAUCGGACCGAAGUCCGAAGCUAACUGGAACUCCCCGUCCCCUACAUCGGACCGAAGUCCGAAUCUGACUGAACACGGCAUAGCAUAACAUGUCAUCUAGCAUAAACACAUAACUCCUGUCUAAGCCACGAAGGCGUCAAACAUACUAGCUACUGCAUUGGACCGAAGUCCAGAAACUACGGCUAACUGAAUGGGCCGGCAUUGUGGCCUUAGACCCGUUCCUACUGAAGGGAAACUCACCUCGUGAACUGGCUGUUAUGUGAAUGGCUCUGGAAGCAAACUGUUGCUGCUCCGGUAUCUCCCGGCUACAAGUCCAUAAACACACUCAAUCAAAUGCUAAACACUACACUGGGGGUAAAAUGACUCUUUUACCCUUGGUCAAAGUCAACUCUCUCGGUCAAAGUCAACCCACAGUUGACCUGACUCGCCGAGUUGGGCCGCCAACUCGCCGAGUCNUGAACAACUCGUCGAGUCCCUCCAUUACUGAGUCUGCCCUCCAACUCACUGAGCCCACUCUACUACUCACAGGCUUCCACUCGACAUCACUCAAAAAGGGGAAAAACGGGACUCGCGACUUGACUCGCCGAGUUGUUCUUCCGACUCGCCGAGUCACAUCCAUGCAGCUACUCUAAACUCGAUUAUGCUUGAAUCCAGCGGCUGAAACUUAUAGAUCUGGGCUUCCUUAACUCGAUUAGCAUGUAAAGAUUCUAUCUUUACGUGCCCAUAAGCGACCAAGAACAUAAUAAGGCUCAAAAAGCAUAAUAAAGGCUAGAUCUAGGGUUCUUAUGCAAAGCAUCUUCAAAAAGGCAAAAGAUCCGGGCUCUACAACUCCUAAAUGAACAGAUCUAGUGAUAUCUCAACCUAUUAAGGCAUCCAUACAACUAUAAGGCUUGGAAAAUGCACCAAACUAGCCCUAGGAGAGUUCUAAUGGUGGUCUAAAGCAUAAAACAGAAAGAAU